UACGGAGGAUCCAAGCGUUAUCCGGAUUUAUUGGGUUUAAAGGGAGCGUAGGCGGCCUAUUAAGUCAGGGGUGAAAGACGGUGGCUCAACCAUCGCAGUGCCUUUGAUACUGAUGGGCUUGAAUAUAGUUGAGGUAGGCGGAAUGUGACAAGUAGCGGUGAAAUGCAUAGAUAUGUCACAGAACACCGAUUGCGAAGGCAGCUUACUAAGCUAUUAUUGACGCUGAGGCUCGAAAGCGUGGGGAUCAAACAGG
rnacentral:rRNA from 2 species